rnacentral:rRNA from 1 species
GGACCCGCACAAGCGGUGGAUGAUGUGGUUUAAUUCGAUGCAACGCGAAAAACCUUACCUACCCUUGACAUGCCAGGAAUCCUGAAGAGAUUUGGGAGUGCUCGAAAGAGAACCUGGACACAGGUGCUGCAUGGCCGUCGUCAGCUCGUGUCGUGAGAUGUUGGGUUAAGUCCCGCAACGAGCGCAACCCUUGUCAUUAGUUGCUACGAAAGGGCACUCUAAUGAGACUGCCGGUGACAAACCGGAGGAAGGUGGGGAUGACGUCAGGUCAUCAUGGCCCUUAUGGGUAGGGCUACACACGUCAUACAAUGGCCGGUACAGAGGGCUGCCAACCCGCGAGGGGGAGCCAAUCCCAGAAAACCGGUCGUAGUCCGGAUCGUAGUCUGCAACUCGACUGCGUGAAGUCGGAAUCGCUAGUAAUCGCGGAUCAGCUUGCCGCGGUGAAUACGUUCCCGGGUCUU